rnacentral:rRNA from 1 species
CGGACGGGUGAGUAACGCGUGGGUAACCUGCCUCAUACAGGGGGAUAACAGUUAGAAAUGACUGCUAAUACCGCAUAAGCGCACAGGGAUGCAUGUCCUGGUGUGAAAAACUCCGGUGGUAUGAGAUGGACCCGCGUCUGAUUAGCUGGUUGGCGGGGUAACGGCCCACCAAGGCGACGAUCAGUAGCCGACCUGAGAGGGUGACCGGCCACAUUGGGACUGAGACACGGCCCAAACUCCUACGGAAGGCAGCAG